ACUCCUACGGGAGGCAGCAGUAGGGAAUCUUCCACAAUGGGCGCAAGCCUGAUGGAGCAACACCGCGUGAGUGAAGAAGGGUUUCGGCUCGUAAAGCUCUGUUGUUAAAGAAGAACACGUAUGAGAGUAACUGUUCAUACGUUGACGGUAUUUAACCAGAAAGUCACGGCUAACUACGUGCCAGCAGCCGCGGUAAUACGUAGGUGGCAAGCGUUAUCCGGAUUUAUUGGGCGUAAAGAGAGUGCAGGCGGUUUUCUAAGUCUGAUGUGAAAGCCUUCGGCUUAACCGGAGAAGUGCAUCGGAAACUGGAUAACUUGAGUGCAGAAGAGGGUAGUGGAACUCCAUGUGUAGCGGUGGAAUGCGUAGAUAUAUGGAAGAACACCAGUGGCGAAAGCGGCUCUCUGGUCUGUAACUGACGCUGAGGUUCGAAAGCGUGGUAGCAAACAGGAUUAGAUACCCUGGUAGGAUAGCG
rnacentral:rRNA from 1 species